rnacentral:tRNA from 1 species
CCUGAUAGCUCAGUUGGUAAAGAAUCUGCCUGCAAAGCAGGAGACCCUGGUUCAAUUCCUGGGUCAGGA